UAGGGUGACCUGCGGAGGGAUCAUUACCGAGUUUACAACUCCCAAACCCCUGUGAACAUACCACUUGUUGCCUCGGCGGAUCAGCCCGCUCCCGGUAAAACGGGACGGCCCGCCAGAGGACCCCUAAACUCUGUUUCUAUAUGUAACUUCUGAGUAAAACCAUAAAUAAAUCAAAACUUUCAACAACGGAUCUCUUGGUUCUGGCAUCGAUGAAGAACGCAGCAAAAUGCGAUAAGUAAUGUGAAUUGCAGAAUUCAGUGAAUCAUCGAAUCUUUGAACGCACAUUGCGCCCGCCAGUAUUCUGGCGGGCAUGCCUGUUCGAGCGUCAUUUCAACCCUCAAGCACAGCUUGGUGUUGGGACUCGCGUUAAUUCGCGUUCCUCAAAUUGAUUGGCGGUCACGUCGAGCUUCCAUAGCGUAGUAGUAAAACCCUCGUUACUGGUAAUCGUCGCGGCCACGCCGUUAAACCCCAACUUCUGAAUGUUGACCUCGGAUCAGGUAGGAAUACCCGCUGAACUUAAGCAUAUCAAUAAGCG
rnacentral:rRNA from 1 species